UUCUGUAAGCCUGUGAAGGUGGCCUGUGAGGGUUGCUGGAGGUAUCAGAAGUGCGAAUGCUGACAUAAGUAACGAUAAAGCGGGUGAAAAGCCCGCUCGCCGGAAGACCAAGGGUUCCUGUCCAACGUUAAUCGGGGCAGGGUGAGUCGACCCCUAAGGCGAGGCCGAAAGGCGUAGUCGAUGGGAAACGGGUUAAUAUUCCCGUACUUGGUGUUACUGCGAAGGGGGGACGGAGAAGGCUAUGUUGGCCGGGCGACGGUUGUCCCGGUUUAAGCGUGUAGGUGUGUGUUCCAGGUAAAUCCGGUUCACUUUAACACUGAGGCGUGAUGACGAGGCACUACGGUGCUGAAGCAACAAAUGCCCUGCUUCCAGGAAAAGCCUCUAAGCAUCAGGUAACAUCAAAUCGUACCCCAAACCGACACAGGUGGUCAGGUAGAGAAUACCAAGGCGCUUGAGAGAACUCGGGUGAAGGAACUAGGCAAAAUGGUGCCGUAACUUCGGGAGAAGGCACGCUGACAC
rnacentral:rRNA from 1 species